rnacentral:lncRNA from 13 species
ACUUUGCAUGUAGAUUAUGUUUUUCUCUGGGAAUAGAAUUAGAUAAAUUGUCUUCUAAUUUGGUAGAAAUUCAUUACAGAUUCUGCAUUCGUUGUCACAGGGUGACUCUACUCUCUAUAUACGCUUUUGACAGGAGUGAAAAAUGACCAAAGCACCCAAGAAUGAAGGCACUGUUCUAGAUAUUGGAGAUGCAGAAGUGAACAAGAUCUCGAAUACCAGAGACGUCAGCAGCGUUUUGGUUCUCUUUGAGCUCGUAUUCUAGUCAAGCACCACCAGAAAAUAUGCAUAUUAAUAAAAACAGGACAGUUACCUAAACA